rnacentral:rRNA from 1 species
ACUCCUACGGGAGGCAGCAGUGGGGAAUAUUGGAGCAAUGGGGCCACCUGAUCCAGCGAUGCCGCGUGUGUGAAGAAGGCCUGAGGGUUGUAAAGCACUUUUAUUAGUGAGGAAGGGCAGUAGGUUAAGAGCUGACUGUCUUGACGUUAGCUAAAGAAUAAGCACCGGCUAACUCCGUGCCAGCAGCCGCGGUAAUACGGAGGGUGCGAGCGUUAAUCGGAAUUACUGGGCGUAAAGGGCGCGUAGGCGGUUGAGUAAGUUAGCUGUGAAAGGCCUGGGCUUAACCUAGGUAGGCCAGUUAAUACUGCUUGACUUGAGUACAGUAGAGGUAAGUGGAAUUUCCGGUGUAGCGGUGAAAUGCGUAGAGAUCGGAAGGAACAUCAGUGGCGAAGGCGACUUACUGGACUGGUACUGACGCUGAGGCGCGAAGGCGUGGGGAGCAAACAGGAUUAGAUACCCUGGUAGGCGUAGU